ACAUCUACUACAACGUCUUACAUUGAAUCGUCUGCAGGGGUAGCAGCAGGAGGACGUUCUGGAUUUACAGCAGUUGUAACAGCAGGAUUCUUCUUACUGGCACUUUUCUUCUCGCCACUAUUAAGUGUUGUGACACCAGCUGUAACGGCACCAGCUUUAAUUAUUGUAGGAAUCUUGAUGGUUUCGUCUUUAGGAGAAAUUGAUUGGAAGAAAUUCGAGAUUGCAGUACCAGCGUUCUUUACUAUCAUUUCAAUGCCACUUACGUAUAGUAUCGCAACAGGAAUUGCAAUCGGGUUUAUCUUCUAUCCAAUUACAAUGGUUGUGAGUGGUCGUCGUAAAGAGAUUCAUCCAAUUAUGUAUGUUAUGGGAGUUUUAUUCGUACUAUAUUUCAUCUACGUUCGUAAAUAAGAGGGGUUUUUGAAAGGUCUAGACUUAAGGGGAGUCUAGACCUUUUUUGCGUCUUCAGAAAAUCUUAAGGAUUUCCGAGCGUUUUUCUUCAGAAGUUUUCUUAUAAUAGAGGUUAGGGAUUAAAAAAGUGAUGGGGGAGAUAGUAUGGCCGGGGAAACGAUACUUGUCGUAGAUGAUGAAAAAGAAAUUAGGAAUCUUAUUACAAUCUAUUUAAAGAACGAAGGAUAUAAAGUGCUGCAGGCAGGGGACGGAGAAGAAGGGUUACGUAUAUUAGAAGAAAAUGAAGUGCAUUUAGUUGUGUUGGAUAUUAUGAUGCCGAAAGUAGAUGGUAUUCAUAUGUGUAUGAAAGUAAGGGAAGCGAAGGAAAUGCCGAUUAUUAUGCUUUCGGCAAAAACGCAAGAUAUGGAUAAAAUUUUAGGAUUAACAACAGGUGCAGAUGAUUACGUAACAAAACCGUUUAAUCCGUUAGAGUUAAUCGCAAGAAUUAAAUCGCAGCUACGUCGUUAUAUGAAAAUGAAUGGCUUUGCUAUUCAAAAUGAGGACGAGUUAGAAAUUGGAGAGAUGAAAAUAAAUAUCUCCACUCAUACAGUCAUUGUGGAUGGAGAAGAAGUGAAACUGACCCCGAGGGAAUUUUCAAUUUUAGAAUUACUAGUCCGUAAUCCAGGGAUGGUCUUUAGUGCGGAACAAAUUUAUGAAAAGGUUUGGAACGAAAGAUCUUUCCAGUCGGAUAACACGGUAAUGGUUCAUAUUCGGAAAGUGCGUGAAAAGAUUGAGGAGAAUCCAAGGAAGCCGAUAUAUAUAAAAACAGUAUGGGGAGUGGGGUAUAAGAUUGAAAAAGAUAUUUAAUCCAUUUACUUAUGUUAGGAAAAUUCGAGAAUUAAUUGGAAAGAUAGUGAAGAGUGUGAAACGGAGUAUACGAAUUCAACUUAUUACUGCGUUUACUGCUUGUGCGUUGUUAGGGAUUUUGUCAGCGAAGGCAGCAGCACCGUUUUUUGAGAAUGCGAAUCGAGAGGCGACGAUCGAUUAUCGGGUUGGUAUGGAACAAAUUAAUCAACAAGCUCAAAGUGUGGCAAAUAGUUCAGUUCAUGAAAAUAAAUUAGAAGCUAUAUCAACUAUGAUUGAAAUAGAGAAUCAAAAUUUAGAACAAAACUCUAGAGCUUUAAAAGUAUUGGUCACUGACGAGAGCGGUAAAGUUUUAUAUAAAACGAAGCAGGCGCAAGAAGAGCAAAUUGAUUUGCAUAAUACAAUUCGUAAUGCAUCAUCGUUUGCGAUUAAUUAUAUGAAUGGUAGAAAAGAAUUUGAAAGUACGAGAAAAGAAUUUAUAGCUUUUGCACCUAUUACAAUAGAAGAUAAGAAUUUAUACAUGUUUGUUAGUGGGAUUCCAGAAGGUGAAGUAAUAUAUGAUACGCAAGAAGGACCGUUUCCGUUUUUCAUAGGUGUACUUGUAUUUAUUUUCUCUUUCUUCUAUAUAACAAAGAGAAAGAUGAAGCAAAUUGAAGCGAUGGCACAAGGUGUAAAGGAAAUAGAAAAAGGAAACUUAGCGUACCGUAUUGAGAAAAAAGGUGAAGAUGAGAUUGCGUCUUUAACUGAGAAUAUUAAUAAUAUGGCGGAAGAGCUUAUGAAUAAUAUAGAAAAGGAACGUAAAUUAGAGAAGCAAAAGAAUGAGCUUAUUACGAAUGUAUCACACGAUUUACGUACACCACUGACUUCUAUAAUGGGUUACUUGCGAUUACUUCGAGAUUCUAAAUAUGAAAAUAAAGAACAACAUGAUGAGUAUACGAGAAUUGCUUUUGCAAAGUCGGAGCAGUUAAAGAAUUUAAUAGAAGAUUUAUUUGAGUAUACGAAGUUAACGAAUGAACAAGUUGUAUUAGAAAAACAGGAAGUGUGUGUAAAUGAGUUACUUGAUCAAUUAAUAGAAGAGUUAGUACCACAAGCGGAAGAGCAUGGCCUUAUGUUUGUUAAGAAGUUUCCUGAGGAACGUGCAUAUGCGAUGAUUGAUUCGGAAAAGAUGGUCCGUGUAUUCGACAACUUACUAAUGAAUGCAAUUAAGUAUAGUAAAGAUGACGGAGAGAUAAAAGUUUCUCUUCAAAGGCAGCGCAGGAAUAUACAAAUUGUUAUUGCGAAUCAUAGUGAAGAGUUUACGAGAGAAGAGUUAGGGAACUUGUUUGAACGGUUUUAUAAGAAAGAUCAAUCUAGAAGUAGAGUAACAGAAGGUUCGGGGCUCGGAUUAGCUAUUGCGAAAAGUAUUGUUGAGUUGCAAGGUGGUAGUAUUCGAGCUGAGUAUGAGGACGGAAUCGUUCAGUUCAUCGUUUCAUUACCAAUUAUAGAAAAAUAAUAAAUGAAUAGAAUGUUAUAGGAUAAAAAGGCUUAUUUUAAAAGGAAUAAGCCUUUUUAUAUUUUUUUAGAAAAACAUAUUGACGAUUAGAGUUUAGAGGUGUAAUAUAAAACAAGUCGCCGAUAGCAACAACGCAGAAAGCGACAAAAGAAAUAAAAAAAACUUGGUUGACAUUGAAAUAUGAAAAUGUUAACAUAAGGGAGUCGCAAAUGAGCGGCAAACAAGUUCUUUGAAAACUGAACGAAACAAACAACGUGAACGUCAAUUUUUAUUUUUAGAUGCUAGACAAACUAACUUUAUUGGAGAGUUUGAUCC
rnacentral:rRNA from 1 species